rnacentral:rRNA from 1 species
AUUGAACGCUGGCGGCAUGCUUUACACAUGCAAGUCGGACGCGUCGCGAAUGGGUGAGUAACGCCUCGGAACGUACCCAGUAAUGGGGGCUAACUGUCCGAAAGGACAGCUAAUACCCGAUACUUCUCCAGCGGCCGUUGUCUGAUUAGCUGGUUGGCGGGGUAAAGGCCAACCAAGGCGACGAUCAGUAGUGGGUCUGAGGGGAGGAGACGGCAAACUGUGAAGACGGCACGGCCCAGACUCCGACGGGAGGCAGCAGUGGGGAAUUUGGGAAAGUGGGCGCAUGCCUGCUCCAGCCAUGCAGCGUGUCUGAAGAAGGCCUUCGGGUUGUAAAGGACUUUUGUCAGGGAAGCGGUACCUGAAGAAUAAGCACCGGCUAACUACGUGCCAGCAGCCGCGGUAAUUC